AGUUGGGCGCCUUUUAUUAAAUGAUUCUUUUUAGAUCUUUCUUUUUUGCUUCGGCAUUUUAGGAGAUCUUGUUACUUUGAGUAAAUUAGAGUGUUCAAAGCAAACAGAUUAUAGCAUCUUUAUGCGUUUGAAUACUACAGCAUGGAAUAACAAAAUUGAACAAGUCAGAAUUUUGUUCUUUUUUCUUAUUUUGGCUUAGUUACGAUUAAUAGGAGUAGCUUGGGGGCAUUUGUAUUCAGAUGUCAGAGGUGAAAUUCUUAGAUUUUCUGGAGACAAACAACUGCGAAAGCAUUUGCCUAAAAUACUUCCAUUAAUCAAGAACGAAAGUUAAGGGAGUGAAGACGAUCAGAUACCGUCGUAAUCUUAACCAUAAACUAUGCCGACUAGGCUUUGGAUGAAAGAUUUUAAAAUAACAGAAUUCUCCCCCCGGAGUUGGUCAUAAAAGUCGA
rnacentral:rRNA from 1 species